GCCGACCGUUACAUUGUCCUCCCUCACAGCGCCGCGUGGGGGCAGGAGGGAGCGCGGCUCUCACAGGGGAAAGGAGCCAGCCAAAGCUUCCAAGCUAUUUUUGAAGAGUUUCUGCAUGCUGAGAAGUGUUUGUCACAGUACACUGCAGAGAAUUCUGUUCAUGGAGUGAAGCCUUUUGGGAGGAUUCUUUGAUGAAAGCAUGAGAAAAGAAUGACAAGAGUACCACUGCAUAUAUGAAUACUCAGAGAAGGAGUGGGUAGUUGCAGACAAAUUUGGAGGCCGGUGCUCAAGUCAACAUGAUGCCAGGAAAUAUUAAUGUAGGAGAAACGCUGGCAGUGUAAGCCUCUGUGACCAGUAUAGAUAGACGAGACAUAAUAAGGAGUAUCUAAUGGAAGUUCAGCGAAUGUGGUGGCAAUAACAGUGCAUCAAAGACUGCUUUCUUAUGCUGACAGAACAGGAGCAAUCAGAUAUGCAGCUAAUAAAUUGAUCAUGGGAAGAAGUUUAUGCUUGAUACUGGAGAGAACUUGUUAGGAGAGAAGAGAGCCUUAAUUUGGUCCUAGAGAAGCUUCAUUAGUAUAAAUAGUAUACUUGUAGUAUAAGUGAAAAUUUGACAAAAAUUGUUUAAACGAUGGAUGUGGAUUAGACAGUCUAUGUUCAAUUUGCUAGUGCCUAAAGACUGCUUAAUUUCUUUGUAAAUGUGGUGGUGUUCACAGUAAAGCUAUU